rnacentral:rRNA from 1 species
AGAGGACCCACCUGUUCCCAUCCCGAACACAGUCGUUAAGCUCUUCCGCGCCGACGAUACUGGACUGGAGACGGUCUUGGAAAAUAGGGCGCUGCCGGAU